CCUACGGGUGGCAGCAGUGGGGGAUAUUGCACAAUGGGGGAAACCCUGAUGCAGCGACGCCGCGUGGGUGAAGAAGCGCCUCGGCGCGUAAAGCCCUGUCAGCAGGGAAGAAAAUGACGGUACCUGAAGAAGAAGCCCCGGCUAACUACGUGCCAGCAGCCGCGGUAAUACGGAGGGGGCCAGCGUUAUCCGGAUUUACUGGGUGUAAAGGGGGCGCAGAGGGCGAUGCAAGCCAGGAGUGAAAGCCCGGGGCCCAACCCCGGGACUGAUCUUGGAACUGCGUGGCUAGAGUGCAGGAGGGGCAGGCGGAAGUCCUGGUGUAGCGGUGAAAUGCGUAGAUAUCAGGAGGAACACCGGUGGCGAAGGCAGCCUGCUGGACUGCAACUGACGUUGAGGCCCGAAAGCGUGGGGAGCAAACAGGAUUAGAUACCCGUGUAGUC
rnacentral:rRNA from 1 species